CAACUGCUCACAGAUGUAACCUGGCAGCCAGGAUCCUCAUUCACAGUGAAUAUCUGUUGCAUUUUCCCUCUAGGCUUGCAAGGGAUUUCUGUUUACUGCUGAGACUGCACCGCCCUACCCACAUGUGGUCAAAUGAGAGCAGCAAAGUUGUUAGCACCCAAAGCAUAGUUGGCUGGAGUAGAGGUGUGCUGGUGAAUGCCUAUGAAGCCAACACUUGGCAGGAUGAAACACGAGGAUGGAGAGUUGUUGCCAGCCUGCAGGACAGAAGACUAUCUCAAAUCAACAACAAAGGCCAAAGAUGCUCUAGAGGACAGAAACCAAAAGAUAAGUGACAAAGAGGCACGUGACUGUCCAUUGUCCCAGAUGCUUCCCACAAGGACUGUGGGACACCUGAUAUGUUACUGUCUGAACCGAGAUGAGCUCAGCACUCAAUUCAACUUGUUAGUAUCAAAUAUAUGCCGGGUUUG